rnacentral:rRNA from 1 species
AGCGCAGACGGUUAUUUAAGCAAGAUGUGAAAGCCCCGGGCUCAACCUGGGAACUGCGUUUUGAACUGGGUAACUAGAGUGUGUCAGAGGGGGUAGAAUUCCACGUGUAGCAGUGAAAUGCGUAGAGAUGUGGAGGAAUACCGAUGGCGAAGGCACGCCCCCUGGGAUAACACUGACGUUCAUGCCCGAAAGCGUGGGUAAGCAAACA